UUUCCGUAGGUGAACCUGCGGAAGAAUCAUUAAUGAGUUGUCAUGGGGUUCGAUGCUGGCAGCCAAUUUUUGGAUGCAUGUGCUUGCCCUAACAAUCAUCUUCCAAACACCUGUGCACAUUUUUGAGGGAGUCUUGAGUUGGUUGCCGCUCUUGGGUGAUUUUCUCACAUUCCCUUAAAUCAUUAUACGCUAUUAACAAUGUUGAACGUGCUCUGUGCCGCAAGGCUAUUAAUAUAAUACAACUUUUAACAACGGAUCUCUUGGCUCUC
rnacentral:misc_RNA from 1 species